GGUCCUGUGGCGCAAUGGAUAACGCGUCUGACUACGGAUCGGAAGAUUCCAUUUUCGAUUCCAGGCAGGAUCG
rfam:Glossina palpalis gambiensis isolate 146720 unplaced genomic scaffold Scaffold512, whole genome shotgun sequence.